rnacentral:lncRNA from 1 species
UUUCUUUUCCUUCUUCAUCCCUCCCCACCCACCCCGACCCAACCAGUUACUUCUCAAGAUUCAUCAAAGACUUCAAGGUUCUUCCAUCCACCCACCAGGCCUCAAUUUUUCUUCAAUCCGGCUUUUUGAUGAGCACGGUCAAGAAAUUAAGAAUCUGCUUUCGCUGAAGAAUGAGCAAAAAAUUUGGGUCUCUUAUGGUAAAGCAUACAGAUCUCCACUGAACCCUGUUUUGGGUUUGACUUUUGACCAGGUGACUGCAUUCGCCAGAGGUGGCAUUACAGUUGUAUAUAAAACCUUCUUGGACCCUAAUGCCCUUCUGCUACCUGGAUGUGACAAUUGGGACAUUUGUGAGGGAUUUCCAAAUAACUUCAGUGACACCAGUCAACAGGUACCUGAUCAAUUUGAAAAGGUGGACAUGGAGAACAGUUUCCUACAGAACAAGGUGGACCCCAAUAUUGUCCUUCAUGCCUCUGUUUCCGUCAUAAAGUGGAGUUUCUCAAGCAGUAAAGAGAGCAGUGGGAGCCAGAUAAGGCCAUCAACCCUAUGGCUGAUCACAAAGACUGGAAUGAUCCUGAGCCAAGCAGUAACUCAAAGCUGUCUAGCUAUUGGUCAUCCAAUCAGAGUCAAGGCUACUGACGGAACAUCACUACAAGGAUACAAAUUAGUCCUACAAAAAAGACAUAAAGGAGAUGAUUCUCAGAAGUGGGUGUUUGGAACUGAUGGUUGUAUUUAUUCUAAGGCUUAUCCUCAGUUUGUUCUGACCUACCUAGAGGAGCUAAAUGUGCAAGUAGAUGUGACCCAGACAGAGUAUCACCUUCACCACGGUGCCUGGACCGCAGAUCAUCAGGAGCAUGGCAGCAGCUUAGCAGAAGAGGUUCUGCAAAAAAGUGCCAGUAUCCCUGAUUUGAAGCAGCUGCCAAAGCCUUCAGACACCCACUUAAUGCCAGAAGGUUCUCUUGGGGAGACAGGGCAGCUGACAGUGGCCCUGGUGAAGAAACUGGAAGAGAAACAUCCUAAGGCUUCUGCUCAGAGGUAGGGCACUGACAGAAUGGAGCUUUAUUGCUCAAUGACAUUCGAUGUUUUCCUUCAGUUUCAUGUAAGAUUGAUUUCUUGAAGAUUAUUGAAAUAUCUCAAAAGCCCUUUGGCUCUUAAGCACGUUGUUUUCGGGUCACAUUUGAUAAAGAGAGGAGACAUUUAUGUGUAUUUCAUUGAAGACUGAUGUAUGAUAUUGUCUAUUAAUAUAAGUAUACUUAGAAGGAUUACUGUCCUGGGAUCUCAUGGAAAUAUUCUGAAAUAACAUAAUUAGUAUAAGGCAGUGCAGAGCAUAUAUACCCAGUUGUGAAAAUAUCAAAAGGUCUUAAAGAAGGG